CCUGCUCUGCAACAAUAUUUCAUCAGUGGUGAACUAGUGAAGCCUACUGGUGAAAUGUAGUUGCGUAGGAGG
rnacentral:pre_miRNA from 1 species